GCCCUCUAAGGGUUGCAGGUGGAGAGUUUCCAGGCCUCUACCAGUCCCGGCUACGGGAGGGAGAGUCAAGCAGAGGCAUUCCCAUUCCAUUCCUAGCUUGGCCAAUGGCAAGUGAGUGGAAGGCAAUCUGCUACAAGU